AGAUUGAACGCUGGCGGCAUGCCUUACACAUGCAAGUCGAACGGCAGCACGGGAGCAAUCCUGGUGGCGAGUGGCGAACGGGUGAGUAAUAUAUCGGAACGUGCCCAGUCGUGGGGGAUAACGUAGAGAAAUUUACGCUAAUACCGCAUACGAUCCAAGGAUGAAAGCGGGGGACCGUAAGGCCUCGCGCGACUGGGAGCGGCUGAUAUCAGAUUAGCUUGUUGGUGAGGUAAAAGCUCACCAAGGCGACGAUCUGUAGCUGGUUUGAGAGAACGACCAGCCACACUGGGACUGAGACACGGCCCAGACU
rnacentral:rRNA from 1 species